GCCAGCCUGGUGUAGUGGCUUGAGCAUUGGACUCCCAAUUCUGGAGACCAGGGUUCGAUUCCCUUCUCAGCCA